UACGGGGGGGAGCAAGCGUUGUUCGGAUUUACUGGGCGUAAAGAGCUCGUAGGCGGCUUGUCGCGUCGUCCGUGAAAACUUGGGGCUCAACCCCAAGCUUGCGGUCGAUACGGGCAGGCUAGAGUUCGGUAGGGGAGACUGGAAUUCCUGGUGUAGCGGUGAAAUGCGCAGAUAUCAGGAGGAACACCGAUGGCGAAGGCGGUUCUCUGGGCCUUACCUGACGCUGAGGAGCGAAAGCUAGGGGGAGCGAACAGG
rnacentral:rRNA from 1 species